AGAACGAACGCUGGCGGCGUGGAUAAGACAUGCAAGUCGAGCGAUGAUUACGGGGUAGCAAUAUCUCGUAGUUGGAGCGGCGCAAGGGUGCGUAACACGUGGGUAAUCUGCCAUGAAGUCCGGGAUAACUCGCUGAAAGGCGAGCUAAUACCGUAUGUGAAAAUCGGGAGGCAUCUUCUGAUUUUCAAAGCUGGGGACCGUAAGGCCUGGCGCUUCAUGAUGAGCCCGCGGCCUAUCAGCUAGUUGGUGAGGUAACGGCUCACCAAGGCUAAGACGGGUAGCUGGUCUGAGAGGACGACCAGCCACACUGGAACUGAGACACGGUCCAGACACCUACGGGUGCAGCAGUCGAGAAUUUUCACAA
rnacentral:rRNA from 1 species